rnacentral:lncRNA from 1 species
AAUCAGAAUCUCCCGGCAGUUGGUUCCCGGAGGCAGAAUCUGUUAAACUGACAAAGCCCACGUCUCAGGGUCCCUGUCUCGGGGAGUCGGGACUACUGGGUCACCCUGGGUAGUCGGGACUUUAGACUGAGCUGUCUUGGUCACUCGGGGGCAGUUGGCAGAGUAUUCGUGGUCAGGGAGGUGACCCGUGGUCAGCAGGGUCAGGCCACCCAGGGACAAAGGGUCCUCCUGCACCGAGCCUUGGAGAAGGACAGACCGGUGGAGACUUGGGGUCAGCGGGGGAGCCUCCGCGGAUGGGGAGUCACCACCUGCCGGCAAUCAGCCAUGACUGCCUUUGCACUGUCCAUGCUCUCAGCCCACCACCUCGUCCCCCUGCCAUUGCAGUGGCUAACACUGGAGACGAAGACCAAGACACCACAGCCUUUCUCCAGUACCUCUCAAAUCAGCACAGACAAGGACAAAGGCCUCAAUCCACAACUGCUGAUGACGGACCCUGGCCACAUGGGAUGGCCAGACAUACCUGCCCAGCUAUCUGCAGGCGAAGAGGCUCAGAAGAGGUUUGGGGGCCUGAAGGACAUCUUGCUCCCAUGUGCAUAUGGGCAGGCUAUUUCUGCUCCAUGAGUCAAUUUUGCCAUAUAAAAUACUUAAUUUCAGCCAUUCCAGGGUGCUAUAGGAUGCACAGCUUCCCAUCAGCCCACCUGAACUCCAGCCAUGCCAUUUUGAUACCAGGAAUAAGGUCACCUGCUUUCCUGCCCCUUAGGAGGCCAGAGCCGUGGAAGAAAAUGGCACUUCUGUUUACCUGUUAUAUUAUUUUUUUGUCAUCCUUAUAUGUUUGAAAAAUGCAAUUAUAUGAAAAAAGUUUAGUAAUUACAGACAUAACAGCAGAAAGACCUCGGAACCAAGCUUAUUCUCUGGCCGAUUCUGCUCCACCUGGGACUGUGCUGUGCUGCGGGCAUCCUGUGGUCAGAAUCGCAGAGGGGCCAUCAGGGAGGGUCUUCCCAGAGGAUGGACCUCACGUGACUGCUGCCUGAGCAAGUGGCACUGGCCACUCUGCCUGGAGAGAGGAGUAAAUACAGGGCUGGCCAGGAGACCUGCACACUCUGCUACCGGCCUUGUCCAUCUUUAGCUUCUAAUUUGAAAAUGAGGAACACACAGACCAAGAGUAUCUUUGAGGGUUAGUACAGACCACAGAAAUGCCCUGGGCCUUUCACUCUCUCCUUUUGCAAAUUCCCAUGUGUGGAAAUGCCGUUUGGAUAAUGAGGGAGCCCGAAGGAGGUGGACACAUGAGCAGCCCUGACACGGCUGGCUCCAUCCUCUGAAAAUGGGGCCCCGUGCCCAGCGUGUGGCCUUACUGGUUCAGUCUUCUUUACAGUGGGAGGUUUUGAGUGCCCAGAUGCCCAGUGCCUCCUACCCGGAACAGGACAGGACCAGGCUGACCCCUGGAAGAAUUCCAUGCACACUUGGCUAUUCAGGGAGUUUCCACGCAGCCAAGCUCGCCUCUGUGGCUACCCUUGUCUUGCUGCUCAUAUCUGCCAGGAAAGGCCUGGACUUGGAGAGAAACCUGGGAUUUGGAUUCAGUCCUUGCCAGCCCGGCUGGUUCAUAUCCUUACCUCUGUCUGUGGAAGCCUAUGUUCCUGAGCAGCGAGUCAGAGGGGGCAUCUGAAUGCAGAGCAGGAAGCUUCAGAUGGGAAGAAGUCAGAGGAACCAGAAUGUAUCAGAGAAUGUGGAGUUGGGUGCCUGAGCUCAAAGGCAAGCUGGGCCUUGGGCUGGCUGUGUGAUCUUGGGCAAGUUCGACCAGCUUCUUUGUGCCUCUUUUCUCUCCUUAAUAAGAUAAAUGUCUUCACUAGUACACUGAGGGCUGCCAUUAAGUUCUAUGUGCAGGGAUCCAAGGCAGGCCCUAGGCCUCUUGGUGAGUGCUACUCCUCCUUACAAUUUGCUGCCUGGAGCAACAUUGGGUGAGAGAACUUCUUAGCGCCUUGGCAGUCCUUGUCCUCCUGGACCCUCUGUUUUGAGGGUGGAAUGAGGUGAAGGGCAAGUGCUUUCCCAGCUGGUCAGGUGCUCUACCAGCUGGGCAUAUUCUAAUCCCCCCAGAGUAUACAGAUCAGAGUUUGAUGUGGCCAAUGUGUCCAAUGCCCAAGUGAGAAUCUCUUGAUGAAGUUAUUGGUGUGGGGUUUUGCUUUGGUUUUUAAUUAUAGAGAACAAAAGUAUUGAAAGUAUUACAUUUACCCUAAAGGUGUAAGUGAGUUAUGGUCAAGUGAAGAUGAAAUACCAUCCUCAAACACAGGUUCCAUUCUUAGCUCAUCUCAUUUAAAGGAGAGAAAAGCCCUGCAGGUGAAACAUGGUGGGGGUAGACAGGGGUUCAGCCAAUUUCAGUGUUUGGCCCCAAGAAGUGAAUUUGGGUUUGAGGACCUCUCUCUGGAAGGAUUUUAUGACCAGAUCUUCCUGGAGAUGAUGUUAGAAGCUUUUCUCACCAAAUAUUUAUUUUCCUGGGGUGCAACUUCUGCUUCAUUCUCUCUUUAACUCCAGCUGUCUUUUUGGACUGAAGUGCAGGUUGCUCACAGCAUCCUACAAAGUAACUGUCUUCCCAAAUCUCACCUACCUCUGAGCUUCUGCUGUAUUCCUCUCUUUCUCUCUCUUUUUUUGAACUGGAAUCUAUUACUUUGGAUGAUGCAUGCUGGUGUUUUCUAAAGUUUUCUGAUUGAUUGUGUCUUUAAAAAAUAAUCUGAUAAUAUUUUAGCUUCUUGAAUUUUGUGGCAUAUUUUUAGGCCUCUGCUAAACCCAUUUUUGAGUGCUAUGACAUUGUUCAUGUAUGAAGUUAUGCCAAUAGAAACAAAAUGCUGUCAUAUAGGCUCCCCUAAAACUUCAAAUCUGGUCCAGAUCUUAGACUGGCAGCUUCUGCUGUCAUUGGAUCUCAGUGAGACCUUUGCACCCAUUUCCUCCCUUUGUGAUUCAUCCACGGACAUCCCCAUCUCCUUGAGAACAAUCUCAGGAAUAUUCCUUGCCUUCUUUCGGCUCUCACUCCAUCUCAUUUUCUGCCGUUCACUGGGGAAUAUAGAAAUGUCCCAUACUUUAAAGAGUAAAAACAAAAAUUGGAGGCAGAGAGGGUGAACUUGUCAAUAUCACACAGAGCUGGGAGUGUGGUAAGCCCUUGAAAUGGGGCUCAAUGACACCGCUACUUCCCAGGGAUUCCUAAUGUCUGAGGGUUCCAGUGAGCUGAGAUGAACCCAGGGCCUAAGAAGAACUCUCUGACCUCCUCACCUCCAAAGCCCCACCCAGUGCACAUGGCCUGAGGCGUCCAUGGUGAUGGUAAAGAAACCUCACCUGCCAUCUCUCCCAUUACUGCCAUGUCCCCUCUCAUCCUAUUCUGUGCCAAAUGUCCAGAUGUGAUCAAUAGAAUCAGGAGAAAAUUGAGGCCUGAGGGGAGGGGGCCAGACUCUGGGAGUAGAGAGUGGAUUGAAGUCAGACUAGGGCUGUUCAGCAAGGAGUUCAGGGCCUUCAAGUGUUGGGAGCUUGGCAGCAAUGCCAAGGGGAAUGGGGGUGGAUUUGGGUCCAAGUUUAUGUUCGAAGAAUAUAAGCAUGAUUUGGAGACUCCUGAUGUUCAUAUGCUCCCAUCAAGCAGAGCUAGGGGUUGCUAGAGGAGAGAAUGGUGCUAGAAGUUCAGGUGAGAACAGGGCAGACCCCUGCAUAAAUGUGGGAUCUCUCUGUUUGAAUCACGGCCCAAACACUGUGGCAGGGACACUCCCAAGGAACUCAAACAUGUAUUUUAUCAGGGCUUUAACAUAAGGAAUAUUGAUUCUUAAGAAAAUUGGAAACAUGAGAAUCUAAUUUACUCUGUUAUGAGAUGCUAUACACCUGGAAGAAUAGGUUAACUGUCAAAUUACUACCAAAUUGUUGCAAAAAAUUGCCAAUGAAGCAAUCAUACAAAGCUCAGGUAACAGACUGGGUGGCCAUCACUCUGGGAGAGGGAGAUAGCACUGGAAAAGGUCCUUGUGACUCAGAUCAAAGAGAGCAAAUGGCAAAGAAGGGGGCAGUUGCUGUUUUCUGAAGUAAAGCCUCUUAGGUGUUAUUUGACCAUUUGUUACCUGUGAAUGUAUAAUUUUGAUUUUUAAAAUAAGUAGAAAGGAGCCUCUUUCUUAAAACCAACCAAUCUCUGAGCCCCACAGAUGGUAUUCUGGUUUCUUGCAGGAGCUUCUGGUCCCACCCGCCUGCCCCCUUCUAGGACAACCCCACCAGCAAGGAGGCCUUCUAGUUCCUUCUGUGUGUGUUCGCCUGCUGGUCCUGGCUUGGGCCCCAGGGAGCCCAGGAAGCUCAGGGUUCUCUCAGCUGCACUUCCAUCCAUGGUGCCCAACCUCAGUGCCUAGGACUCUGUGUGCCUGACCUCCUCCAGGCGGGGCUGCUCCCUCCAGGUGUCCACCUGGUAUGGGCAUCCCGUGGCAGCUCUCCUCUGAUGACCGAGUGUGGUGGGGGUGCUAAGGCCAACUUGCUGCUGGCACGCCCAGAACUUAUUUGCUGGCUGUUUCAAAGACUCCCUAAAGGCACCAUGGGUUUUCCUUAGAACACAGUUCUGUGCAGUCCCACCCAUCCUCUUCCCCUCUAUCUCCCACUAGGGCUGAUACUUGCUUUAACGUCUGAUGGCUCACCCAGUCCUUCAUAAUUUUCACAAUGUUAUGUUCCUUCCUAAAACCCUUGCAGUUUAAUCUGCUCUUGGCGUCUGCUUCUCAGAGGAGCUGAGUAACAGAGACUUCAACCCUUCUUCUCUCAGUUCCUGCUGCCCCUGUGGUGAGGUUGACAGUUGCAGACCAUAGAGCCAGCCUGGCCUUGCCCAGAGCACACAUGACCUCUUAGUAAGGCUGGGCCCUGCUAAGGGCUAUGUUUUGCACACGUUCCUGCUAGUCACAUCCAGCACAUCUGGGCUACCACUUGGAUGGCAACAUUACAUUGGAGACCACUGUGGCCGUGGCAGGAGUAGACCAGGUGGCAGUCUUGUCUUCAGUCGUCAUGGAAAUCCCAGCUAUGCAGCGCUAGCAGGUGUUCUGUAAUGGAGGAUCAGAUGCUUGAGCUUCUGAGCAGGCCUCCUCCCUCUACUGCCUUCUGUCAGGGUCUUGGCAGCAGCCGGCUCUGGAAGGCAUCCCGGCUCUGGGUUCAAGAGCUUGCUGGGCUUCUACAUGAAGGUGUGAAGUGUGAAUGUCACCUUUUCUGAUUUACACUUUUGUUUUCUGCUACAAACUUGCGAUGUUUUCUGAGGGAUGCUGAAUAGAUGGGGGUGGAUGGGGAGGGAGGCAGGGGCUAGAAAGUGUUCUCCUGGGGCCACCCUCCAGCCUGGGGCAUCUGAUGGAUGAGGAGGGGAGAAUCUUUGAGAUCUUGUUUAUGAGGGCACUGCAAAUACCACAUUUUUUUCUUUUUUGCAAAUUCUAGUGGAGAAGUUUUACCAGGUUGGGAGAGAGGCCUCAGAAUUAAGUCCCUGUCUCCUGCCACAGUUUACAGCGGUGAAGCUUCCUGGCCAAGCAUAAACUCCCAGGUGGAGUACAAACAGCCUUCAACAAUGGCACCAUCAUUGGUACCAAUGGCAUUGAGAGGAGGUGGCACUGACACCCUAAGUGGGUGGCACUGACACCUAAGCCUUAUGGUCUUCUGCUGCCUGGAGAGCUUUGCCUCCAUCACUGGUGCCCACCUUGGGAAUUCCCAGGAAUUACUCUUCAAAGGUACACUCGGACGCCCACUCUGCAAGGCCAUUUUGUUCCCUUACAGUGCCUCUGAAAUCAUUUUGAGAGAGGAGAAUAGGGAAUUAGGGUAAACAACGGUUAAGGCAUAAGCAAAAGAACAGCAGGUGCAGCCAGCUCUAGACAGCAUAUAGGCCACAUCCUCACUCCUGUUAUAACAAAACAGAAGUUUCCACUUCAGCCUUUUGUUUCAUCCUGGGUAAGUCCUUCACAGGGUGUAACCAAUUGGAGGCCUCUAAAGGGCACCUAGGGGUGUUGCUAAAUUAUUUUAUUAAUAGCUUAAAACCCUAAAGAACAUUGUAAUCAGCGCUCUUGAGCCCUUUACAUAAGCCGGCUUCCACUCUGUGGAGUGUACUUUGCUUCAAUAAAUCUGUGCUUUCAUUGCUUCA